rnacentral:lncRNA from 1 species
AUGAGGAACAUUGCACAUACAUCCCAUCGAAUCAGUUUUUUCCUGCAUAUGUCACGAGUUCGACACACGAUGUGCGGGAAAUUUAGGAGAAGGAUUCUGGCUGUGACCGUGUUUCCGCCGCGAACCUUUUUCCAAGUGGGGAAAAAAGUUGGGACUUCCGACUACUUAUCUCAUCAUCAGCUACACUUCAAUCCUUUAAGAUGUAAAGGCAUCCCCUUCCUUCAGCUGCUUUUCCCUGACAGGAGAGCCACCGAGAGCCACCCUGUUCCGAGGCUCAACUCAGACUAUUAAACCACUGGACAGAUGGAUUCAAAGCACUGUCCACAGAGUGAUUAGGUUUCAUUAUGGAUAAUGAAACACCCCAUUACGUUUUACUGCCUUAUAAUAAAUGUCUUUAAAGAAUGUCUGCAUUAGUUAGAAAAAAAGUUUCCUGAUAUCAGGAAAAAUGGCUGCGAUGCCGAUUUUUGAGGACUCUUUCUUUGACCAUUAGAAGAAAAAAAAGAGAGCCAGUGAGGAUGAGAAAGUGAGGAGGAAAUAAGGGAUUUAAUGGAAUAUAAAAGUCGGCCGUUUAUGUCUGUACUGUACAACAGGCCAAGGUGAAAUAGAUAAGUCAAAGUGUCAUUUCUGUGCUCCGUUCGACCGGCACAACACAGCCCAUCUGGGGCUUGAGAGCGAACAUCUCAAGCUCAGGCUUAAAAACCCAGCUUCAGCUGACAUGGUGAAUUAAGACUGAAAAAAAAAACAAUUAACGAUUUACGGGACAAACAACAAGCUGUGGUUUGUUCCACUACUAGUCAAAACCGUCGAGGGGUGGGUGAGAGGGCUAAAAUGCUGACAGUGAAAAGAAAACCAAUACCCAUCUAAUGGAGUAAUCCCAAAUUGCGCCAUAUCCAAAACUCAACUCACUGUGCCCAUUGCAACACAGGGCAGACUGUUUGGACAGUUCCCCUGCAAAUUCUGUUAUCACUGCACGUCCAGAAAUGAAUUUGGGGGAGGGGGUGGACAGUGGGUGGACGGCGGAGGCUUUUUUGUGGAGGCAGGGCCUGGUUGGGAAAAAUCAAGUGGAUGGUGGCCCCCUAGCUGAGGCUGCCUGGCAAAGGAUCAGACUCAUUCCUCUUCAGUCAGAGGCUCCUUUUCUCUGAACUGUCAGUCCGGACGUCUCGGCGAACUGACACAAGAAAUGCUGCUUGAAAAAAAUGAAAAAACACAGCUUCUGGUCCCGCUGGUGAGAACCGGGCAGAGCUCGGCGAACACACACAGUCACAAUCGCGCAGUGGCAUAGAGGCUCACUGUAGUCAUCUUGCCUUUCAAUGGGGAGCGCCGACAAGAUAGCGUACAUUCGUUGGGAUGUG